AGUGAAAGGGAAAGCUAAUUACACUGCAGACAUCAGCAGACGGCUUCAAUUCUUUAUUUCGUGUUAUUUCAAACUAAAUGGCACUGGUAAAAACAGCUCUGCUGGAAGGUGCUCAGGCAUUUUAUGCUCAAAUACUUCUUAAUGGUCCCUAUGCAGUGUCCACUGCUCCCAAGCUACUCACUGAGCAGCUAUCAUCAAACACAGACAAAAUCUUAAUUGCACAUAUUACAUGUGUUUAAGAGUUUAGUUCCUUCCUGAACUACCAGCUGCAUAUGUUGAUGUAUCUUCAAGUCACUUCUUCUUGUCAGUUACAUAUAAAACCAGAUGGAAACCACCCCGGGGACGUGGCCCUGCUAAUUCAAUUAGACAGGCCUCAGCCGUAGCCCUACAUAUAAGCAGUCAGUGGACACCCUGAAAAAUGGCAGAUUGAUCCCCACUGCCACCCUGAAGGCUCAGGGCCCAUGAUUGAUCAGACAUUGAUUAGAUUUGAAGUGAGAGUGAAGAGCACUUUCCUGGGCACUAAGUAAGAGGUCUGAACAAGAUUUCCCUUGUCAAAUCGUCUGGGUCUUGUGAAGUGACUUUGGCUGUGAACAAUAGGGGCUUACAGUUGUAUGCAAUUCAAGCACGAUUCAAAACACAUUGCUGUGAGUGAGUCAGAACAGAAGAAUGUGACAUUUUGAGAAAUAUACAGCACCCAAUAUCUGUCUAGUUUAAACGAGUUCACUCAAAGCAAGAACUAUGUAGGUGAUUUUCAUCAUUGGGUUGCAUUUUUGUAUCUUUUAAACAAAAUGUGGACAAUAUAUAUUUGAGAUUUCAGCCGAAUGUGACAAUAGACAAGCUGGCUAACUUGUAAUUUAACUUAUGUGCUUACUGGAAACAGUUCAUAUGUAUAAUUAUUGCUGAUUAAUGUUUUUAAGGCCACCCCCCUCCCCCCACCCCCACCCCACUUUUUGUUAUGGCUGUAUUCAAGGGGUUUGAGUCUUAAUUGACACUGUUAAAUGUGAAGUAAACACACAAUGCUUAUAUCAGGAUUAUAUUUUGGCUACUUCACAGCAAUCAUCUCAGUUUCACUGCCUGGAACCUGUCAACAACAGGGUUUAUUAGUGAAGACAUCUCAGAAUUAACAAGCCAUAACAGAAAAAAAGGAAAAUUGUGUCGUGGAAUGUAAUACAAAAUAAACUAAGGAGCCGUUACA
ensembl:lncRNA